ensembl:lncRNA
GAGCCCUCGGGGCCAACAUAAUGUGUAGGAGUCCCAUGAGCAUCUAUUCGGAGCACUGAGUGCCAGGCUGGAAUAACCCAAUCCCACAAGAUUGUGUGAGGAUGGAUAAAGGCAGACACAAACUGUUCACCCCUGAGGCCGCUCUGGGCUGUGCCAACACCUGACAGCCUGAGAGUGGAUCUUCAGGGCUGGAAAAAGAAGAGGGAGCUGCUCUGUGCAGUGCUUCCUCUCUUCAUUUCUGCAACCUGAGCAGAGUCCCUGAAAACAACAAAAGGCAGAGUGCAUUAGUGUCGUUUCACUGCUAACACUGGGG